CAGGGAUUAAUUGUACACGGCCCAGCUAGCCUAUCAUUCGUUCCACCAACUAAACCUCGUGAUCGCCACCAGCUCUGCCGUCCGCCUCCUCUCGAGCUAGGCAUGGAUCUCCUGGCUGGGAGUGGGAGACGAGACGACCGCUCUGCUCCGAUCCGCGCCGAUCAUGGGAGAUUGUCUCUCUGGUGGAGUUUGAGUUGUUGCUGGUAGCUAGCUCGGACGGCGCCAGCUGCUACUGGUACGUACCUGCGACGUGCGAGCUGCAGAUAUAUAAUUCUCUGAUCGCGUUUCCGUCUGUUUCCCGUGUGGGGCAGGGGCACUAGUGCUGUGCAGCACCCGGCCCCCAACGACAGCCAGUCGUCGUACUCGUACACGGUCCUAGCUACUUGCAC
rnacentral:lncRNA from 1 species